ACUAUUUAAAAACUAGGCUAAGGGGAAAAUGAAAUCAAACUUGUGGAUUUACGCACUAAUUUAAAAGACAGGCAGACUCAGAUCAUUCAACUUGAGGCUGAAAUCAAUGUAUUACAGUCCAAGACCGACUAUAUGAGUAGAAACAAAGUGUUUUCAUUGAAGAAGAAAUGCGAUAUUCUCAAGAAGGAAAUUCAAGAAAUACUAUGUAUUGAACAAAAAUUAUCAAGACAAAAUGAAAUAAUAAGUUCUCCUCUUUUGGAAAUGGAGUCGGUUCAUUCUUCAUUUGAUAGUUGCAGCAAGAGUAACGUAUCCGUCAACAAUAUAACGCAGCCCAACUGUACUUCAUUUCUUGAGAGUAGUAAUGAUUCUAAAAAAAUGAUCAAUAUGUUUAUGAAAUCAUUUGCUCCUAAAAAAUCUACUUUUGUUACUAAUGAGAAUAACUCUGCUUCAAAAGAGGACAUCCUUAGUACUUCAUCUCAAAAUACACAUUUUUCAUUUGUCAAUCCAACCUUCCCAGAAGUUUCGCAGCUAGCUAGUACUUCAACACCUAUCCUCAUAAACGAGCCGCCGGUUAUUUCAUUGACGUCAAGUAUUAUGACCAAUGUAAUUGGCCGACCUUUAGAAGAGGAGCUCUGGUUUCAUGGAGUCUUGCCUAGAGGUGAAGUUGUGAGAUUACUUCAAUGUGAUGGUGACUUUUUAGUUCGAGAAACUGUUCGUAAUGAUGAGAAACAAAUUGUACUUAGCGUUAUGUGGAGCUCUCCCAAACAUUUCAUUGUGCAAACUUCCCCAGAGGGUUUAUUUCGUUUUGAGGGACCACCAUAUGAAACUGUCCAAGAGCUUAUAAUUCAUCAAUUUCAUUCAGGAACUUCAGUCACAUCUCGUAGUGGUGCCAUUCUUAAGACACCGGUUCUCCGGGAGGACUGGGAAUUAAAUAACGAUGAUGUUGAACUGUUGGAAAAAAUAGGUAGAGGGAAUUUUGGAGAUGUUUAUAGAGCUCAGCUUUCUCGUGGGAAAAACAUGAGUGUUGCUGUUAAAACAUGUAAGAUAACUUUGCCAGAAGAGCAGAAAAAGAAAUUUUUACAGGAAGGUAGAAUACUCAAACAAUAUGAUCACCCUAACAUCGUUAAGUUCAUUGGUAUUUGUGUACAAAAACAGCCCAUUAUGAUUGUAAUGGAAUUAGUACCUGGUGGCUCACUUCUGAACUUUCUUAGAGAAAAAGGAAGUAAUUUGGCUACAAAAAGUCUUAUAGGAAUGUGUUUGGAUGCUGCAGCUGGAAUGAAAUAUUUAGAAUCAAAAAAUUGUAUUCAUCGCGAUUUGGCUGCUCGAAAUUGCCUUGUUGGCGAAAACAAUAGUGUUAAAAUAUCGGACUUUGGAAUGUCCAGGGAAGAGGAAGAGUAUACUGUUUCGGAUGGAUUAAAACAAAUCCCUAUUAAAUGGACGGCUCCUGAAGCUUUAAACUAUGGCAAGUAUACUUCCUUGUGCGAUGUUUGGAGUUUUGGUGUUUUGUGCUGGGAGGUCUUUUCAAAAGGAGGAACACCUUAUCAAGGUAUGACAAAUACCCGUGCCAGAGAAAAACUUGAUUCAGGUUACCGCUUACCGAAUCCGGAGAAUUCACCGGAAGAAAUUUAUCAAUUAAUGCUUAGUUGUUGGAAAUACAAUCCUGAAGAACGUCCACAUUUUCCAGAAAUACACGCUGGGAUAGAUUUACUUUAUUCGCGCUUUUCCGUUGGGCCUGAAACCCGGGUUUAAUGGGCACUCAUCACCUUUACAUACUACCUUAUUUCUUUCAUAUAGCUAACUACUAUAUUAUGGAAAGACUUAUUCAUUGGUAAAAAAACUUCGUGGUAUUAAGGAGGAAGUGCUGACCAAGUUAGAUAAUAUCUCAUGCCCUGAGAUACUACUCAAUAACAAAUUAAUUAUGGAAGUUAUGAAGAAUCAUGAGAAUACUAACACUACAAUAUAGACAGGGAUGGGCAAAGCGUAGAGAAAAUAUAAAUAUUUUAAGAUUCAAA
rnacentral:misc_RNA from 1 species